UUCUCUGUUAAAGAAGAUUUAACCCAGCAGCCCACUCCAACGGGCGAUCCGGCCCAACAACAACUUCAGCCACCUAAGCCCAAUAGAAAAGCCUCGACCCGGCCCACAUGCCUUUUCUCUUUCACACAGCACAAACCACAUCGUGCAAGAAAACCAAAGCUCAAUGCUCUACAGUUUCAGGAAGAGAUGGUGAAAUGGAAUAUCCAUCAGUUUCAACGGGCUCUUGCCAUUGAUUCGACAACUAUCAAGGCUCAAACCAACAUGUCUAAGCCUCUCUACCCCCAAUCCGUCACUUCUUCUUAAAAUCAGCUGAAAAGCUUCUCCAAGUACCGUUGCAGUUUGGCCUAUAAAAGGGGGCUUUAUUCACUCUUAUGGAAAAAAAAGGUUAACAAAAAGUGAUAGAGAAUUGGGGGAAUAUAUUGAGUUCUAUCGCUGUCAUUGUUUCGUUCUGACACCUAAAGUAGAAGUUGGUGGUGAAGAGCCUUUUUGUCUCGUCGUUGUCUCAGCUCGCUGCGCCAUAAAAGGUAACCUCUCUUCCUCCUUUUCUGUCCAACUUUAUUUUUUCUUUUCUCGUUUUGUUGAUAUUUGCGACUAUAUGGCUUUGUGAUGGCUAAAUACCUUUUAUAUACCCUUCCAUUGUAUGUUAAUAUAUGAACAUUUAGUGUAGUUGUUUGCUUAGUUGUUAUGACUGUUGAAAGAGUAUAGGCUAAGAGGAGCGUUUUGAUGGACGUUAUGGGAAGACGGAGAACAUCACAUGACGUUCGGCGUUUAUCUCCAUCCUCUGCUCGUAAGAUACUCCAAAUCUCCCCCCAUUCCUAUUUUCUCCUAAUGCUUCAGUUCUCUUUAAGCAAAGAGAUUAUUUUAAGCCCAUGUUUGUGGUUCACGACUCUCAUAUCUGUUCAUGCUAGGAUUUGUUGCUCUUUUUCCUUUAAUUUCCUUAGCAUACUGUUUUAGAAUUUAAUCCAAGCAUGGGGUAAGGGGAUGAUCAUAUAUGCGUCAUAAAAUGAAUAACUACCGCCUUACCAUGUUUGCUACUACUACUUCCCUUUUUCCUAACUUGUACAAAUUUUUUUCCUUUUCCUCCCGCCCCAUCGAUUUCUUAGAGUACUCCUAUCUAGCUAUUUGGUAGAAAUGUGAGAUGAGGGGAUGUUCAUGUGAGCGUUGUACAUCAAAAUAAGAUAUACUUUGGUGUUAGUCACUUUCACCUCUCUUUUCCUCAAUAAAUUUUGCGUAAGUUUCUUCCCACCUGAUAUUCCCUCAUGAAUAUCUCAUGUUGUUUUUGUUGCUGCCCUUUUACCAUCUAAAUUAGUUAUUUUGACUCAAAAUAAGUAUAUGGUAAAGGGAUGCAUCCAUUGGCACCACAGGAUAGAAGAAGAAUACCUCAUGGUGUUCAUUAUUCUAUUCCUCUCUUUUCCUCAAACACUUUGAGCAGGUUCCUCCCCUCACUCCCUUAUGUGAAAGUAUUUUCGUAGCCUAUGAGAUCAGAUUUCUUUUUGAGCUCGAGUGGCCGUUGGUUUUGAUCUACUCCGUACUUGAAUGCGCUCCUAAAAGAGGAUGUUCUUGCCAUUCCUUUUGAUCGGUUUAUGGCUAGUUAUUUCUUUCUAGAAUAUAUCCCUUUGUUCCUUUAUGAACUAAGUAUAUGAUGUGCUUUCCUGGUUAGGCUUGAAGUUUGAUCCAAGUUUUAAUCAAAGUCUCUAGGCAAGAAUUCCUAAAUGAGAUAGGCUUUACAGUUAAAGACUUGAACCUGUUUUUUUCUUCUAUCUUUUGCAUUUGCACUAGUAGCAUAACGUAAAGGGAGGCUCGUUUGAGUUUGAAGGAAAGAAGUGAACAUAUUGUAAUGUUUACUUUCACACUUUCUUUCUUGCUGAAACAUACAUAAUCCUUUCAAUUAAUACCAUCGGUGAAUUUUGGUUUUCCUUUUUCUAUGAAUAAAAUUGUAUUUUUAUUUCUUGAGAUCUUUGAAAUAAAAGUAACAAGCUAAGUGUGCACUAUCCGUGGAAUCUUGUCUUCUUUACCUUUGCUAGCUACAAAUAAUGAAUUAGAUGUUUCAAGUUUUUUGGUUAUUUUAACAUCAUUUUUAUUGGUCGACUAUGAGCUUAUAAGUAUCUUGUUUAACCGAGUCCUUUCUUCGUUGAAACUUGAAUAGCUAAUCCUUACCUUAUCUUUAUUACAUGAACUCCCUUAUGAGUCCCCCGGACUCCCAUUUCUCACAGUCGUUUGGGUUAAAUUCGACGUCCAUCGAGUCAAGACCCAUGCCAAGUCAAGAAACACAGGAUGAUAUACAAUUGUAUACUCUGAUAUACAGUGAAUAUACAUCGUAAGAUGCAGCUGCACGCUAUCCCACGGGCUAUGAUGAAAACGUGGAGCAAAAUACGUAGGUAUCCACACGUACACUGUAUAUGCAGGGGUAUACAGGAAAACGCAGGAAAGAAGCCGCUGAUAUACAGUGGAUAUAAUGGCAAAAAAAGGGCUAAAGUCCAUGGAAUUGUUCCAAAAUUGGACAGAUUUGUAAUGGGUCAAAAGGGGCCCAAUUUUCACUCCUCUCUAUUUAAUUAUCCAUUCUAAUUUAUUUAUUUGUAUUUGCUUGAACACUUAAAUUAAUCAAUCUAGAUAAAUUUCUCAGGGU